rnacentral:rRNA from 1 species
AGGUUAAGCUGAAGAGGCGGAGCCGCAGCGAAAGCGAGUCUGAAUAGGGCGUUUAGUACGUGGUCGUAGACCCGAAACCAGGUGAUCUACCCAUGUCCAGGGUGAAGUUCAGGUAACACUGAAUGGAGGCCCGAACCCACGCACGUUGAAAAGUGCGGGGAUGAGGUGUGGGUAGCGGAGAAAUUCCAAUCGAACCUGGAGAUAGCUGGUUCUCCCCGAAAUAGCUUUAGGGCUAGCCUUAAGUGUAAGAGUCUUGGAGGUAGAGCACUGAUUGAACUAGGGGUCCUCAUCGGAUUACCGAAUUCAGUCAAACUCCGAAUGCCAAUGACUUAUCCUUAGGAGUCAGACUGCGAGUGAUAAGAUCCGUAGUCAAGAGGGAAACAGCCCAGAUCGCCAGCUAAGGUCCCAAAGUGUGUAUUAAGUGGAAAAGGAUGUGGAGUUGCUUAGACAACUAGGAUGUUGGCUCAGAAGCAGCCACCAUUUAAAGAGUGCGUAAUAGCUCACUAGUCGAGUGACUCUGCGCCGAAAAUGUACCGGGGCUAAAUACACCACCGAAGCUGCGAAUUGAUACCAAUGGUAUCAGUGGUAGGGGAGCGUUCUAAGUGCAGUGAAGUCAGACCGGAAGGACUGGUGGAGCGCUUAGAAGUGAGAAUGCCGGUAUGAGUAGCGAAAGACGGGUGAGAAUCCCGUCCACCGAAUGCCUAAGGUUUCCUGAGGAAGGCUCGUCCGCUCAGGGUUAGUCAGGACCUAAGCCGAGGCCGACAGGCGUAGGCGAUGGACAACAGGUUGAUAUUCCUGUACCACCUCUUUAUCGUUUGAGCAAUGGAGGGACGCAGAAGGAUAGAAGAAGCGUGCGAUUGGUUGUGCACGUCCAAGCAGUUAGGCUGAUAAGUAGGCAAAUCCGCUUAUCGUGAAGGCUGAGCUGUGAUGGGGAAGCUCCUUAUGGAGCGAAGUCUUUGAUUCCCCGCUGCCAAGAAAAGCUUCUAGCGAGAUAAAAGGUGCCUGUACCGCAAACCGACACAGGUAGGCGAGGAGAGAAUCCUAAGGUGUGCGAGAGAACUCUGGUUAAGGAACUCGGCAAAAUGACCCCGUAACUUCGGGAGAAGGGGUGCUUUCUUAACGGAAAGCCGCAG